GACGAACGCUGGCGGCGUGCUUAACAAAUGCAAGUCGAACGGAAAGGCCCUGCUUUUGUGGGGUGCUCGAGUGGCGAAAGGGUGAGUAACAAGGGAGUAACCUGCCCUUGACUUUGGGAUAACUUCAGGAAACUGGGGCUAAUAACGGAUAGGAGCUCCUGCUGCAUGGGGGGGGUUGGAAAGUUUCGGCGGUUGGGGAUGGACUCGAGGCUUAUCAGCUUGUUGGUGGGGUAGUGGCUUACCAAGGCUUUGACGGGUAGCCGGCCUGCGAGGGUGACCGGCCACAUUGGGACUGCGAGACGGCCCAGACUCCUAUGGGAGGCAGCAGGGGGGAAUAUGGCACAAUGGGGGGAAGCCUGAUGCAGCAACGCCGCGUGCGGGAUGCCGGCCUUCGGGUUGUAAACCGAUUUCGCCGGUGACGAAGCGUGAGUGACGGUAAUGGGUAAAGAAGCACCGGCUAACUACGUG
rnacentral:rRNA from 1 species